GCUGGUGGUUUCCCUACAGGAAAAUUGUUUGGAUAAUGCCCUGGACCCAAUAAAGGCACUGACACAUGGGUCCCUUCUCUUUCUCUCUACCAGAACCCCCUCUAUGUGGGUAUGGCUUCCUGACAUGCCAUGUACCCUCCAGGGUCUGUGAGUACUAAAAUCUCUUAAACUAUUAUGUGGUGGUUGUGUCACUGAAGCCACACCUGCAAUCUGACCCCUGACUGUGAAGCCACCGAAAGGAGACUCAUGCAGGUGAAUCCCUGGGUGAUGCUCUUCUGUCUGGACAUCUGGUAGCUGCUGAAAACAAUAGCUAUCAACUCAAAGAGUUUUAUCCAAAACAACUGAUGUAGAAGGUAUGAUUAUAGUCAAAGCUUGGAUACAAUAUCAUUGUCUGCCCACUGGGAAUGGAUGACUUAUUUCCCGUAUCAGAUGGUCCAGUUGGUAUCUGAUGGCACUACUACUUGCCAGUAUUCAAUCAAGCUAUUUCGCACUGGUGCCUACUUCUGCUCUCAGGUGUUGCCUUGGGGAUUUGCUUGAAAUUGUGGUGGCUGUAGACAGCUCUAUGAGCUCUUAAAGUUCUUUUGAAGCUGUCAGAGAGCAAGUCCCAAUAUAAUCAGGGUGUGUUUUCCUUUGUGACAUCAUUAGCUUUUCUUGGGAUCUCAAAGGACCCUGUGCAGCAGGCCACUAUUUGAAUGUGUGUUGCUCCUUGUGGCAGGUAUACUGUUCCAAUGCCCUGGGAUCUCUGUAGUGGUCGGUACUGUAUUGAUUAUAAAUGGUGAAGUCCUAGUAUCUUGCUAGAGUGAGCUGGCCAGGAUGGUGGAGCUCUACCACCAUUUCACAGGUUAUAGACAGGGGCCACCAGGUUUCAGGAAAGCAGCAAUGACCCCUCAGUAAUAGUUGGAAAGUGUGAUAUGACACUGAGCUUCACUGUGUUGGUGAAGAAGAGGUGAGGAAAAUAAAAGCUGCAGUUUGCCUCCACCUCUGAAGAAGCACAAUACACCUUUCUGGGUUACCAAUGGGAUACUUCCCAACAGCUUUGUCAUCACAUACAAUAUUCUCAAACAAGAUCUUAAUGGCAUCUACUUUCUCCAGGAACACAGCCCCUGACCUGUGUGUGUUUGCGUAGAGAAGGCAUGCUAUGUACCCCCUAGGAUAUCAAGAUUCCUGUAGCAGAUUGAGCUCUGGCAGUUGAUCUCAGUGGCUUGAUAGAGUGUCAUUAUAAAAACGCACCUGGAAGAUUCUGUGGAAAAGACAACCUCAGAAGACCAAGAGGCUGACUUUGCAAGAGAGAGUCCGUUUACCACUUAGAACCGUGAACACCACCCCCGCCCUCAUUUAUCUCCAGACUUGAACUAGUGGUUAAAUCCCAACAUGUCCCAGAGAAGUCAAAAGCAUUGUAAAAUCUGGGAAUCUGCCCACCACUCAAGCCUGGGAAAGCUGGCAGAGGAUGCACGUGUUUUACUCACCUGAGUGUUUACAAUGCUCGUGAGGUGCCUCCCUGAUAUUUUUAUAGCAGAAUGGAGAAACACAACCAAGGAGAUACACCUAAGUAACAACAGCAAUGAUGUCAAAAAGAGUGCCUGAAUACUUAGGGUGGAGGUCCUGGACAUGCAAACCCAAGCUUCCUCUUUGCUGUGGCCAGGAAUCUGCAGUGAUUGAGAGCACAGACUGUAUCUAAAAUUCCACCUUUCAAAGUUCAGCAUAUUACUUUUUUUUUUCUUACACCUAUAAGUACAGAGGAAUGAAGAAGGAAUAAACAGACCUUCUGGAUAAUUGCAUCAGCCUUCCCCACUAUUCCAAUGCCAUGCUAACAUUUCAAGUAAUGUCCCUUUUGUCUUGCUGAGAAAAAAUCAUUUCAUGAUUUAUUACACUGGAUUAAAGGCUAUGCACACUCUGGAGUUGGAACAUGACUGAAGGGCAAGCAAGCAUAAAGGAUAUCAGAAACAGUUGAUGUGUUUAAAUUUUUCUGAAUUUCUCAAGUAAACUUUUUAGAAAGUAGUCUGAAGAUAAAAUGGUUAUAUAAGUUACUUAAACUGUAGAUGAUGGCACCUUUAUCCCUAUAUAAUAAAAUUAAGAUUUGUAGGUUAAACCUUGGAUAUUCCCAUCUGAGCAUCUGUACCAAACAGAAAAGACCUGUGUGAGUUCCUGAGAACCAGUGCUCAUUCCAGAAGAGACAGGUUUCUCUCCAGGAAGAAAUGUCUGAAAUUCAGUGAAUUAAAAUCCUCAUUGAGUCUUCCUACUCUUUACUUCUCCCUGGAAAAACUGGUUACGAAAAUUUAAUAUUCUGUCAUGAUAAGAUCAAGCUCUAUCAGAUCAGCCAUACAUAUCAAGUACAUUUUGACAAACUUGAUUCAUACUGUUUUCAAAUUAUGAACAACCAAGGCUCUU
rnacentral:lncRNA from 1 species